UUUCCAAGAAGGCUUCGAAGCUCACCAAGCUUCCCUUCCAGACCAUUACCAUUGUGAACAGACCAUCCAUUCUGAUGAACAUUCAUUGUCUCAAUACUUCCAACCAUCUUGUUCUUACAUAUAUCGUUAACUACAAAGCUUCUAUGCAUUCAAUCCUCUGAGUCAAGACUCAAAAAAGAUCUUCAAGAUUUCAACUUGCAAUCUUGGACGGAAAUCAAUAAAGCAUGAAACCCGGCAGAAAGAAAGAUAGACUCAGCGUGAAACUGGACACAAAAGGUGCAUGCAAGGUGAGAAAUAGAAGCAAGAACAAGCUGAGCGAAAAUUUGCUAGCGGUAGUGAUCGGUAAGUGAGAGAGAGACAGUGAAAGCAGAAGAACAUUGAAUGAUGGGUACAGUUUAGAAGAGUUGGGUAUGGACAGUUACGAAGAGCAUUAAAGAUUUGGGACAGUGCCCAUUACGAAGAGCAUUAAAGAUUUG
rnacentral:misc_RNA from 1 species